UGUAUGCGGUAUUUUUGUUAAGUAACAACAAAAAUACUAAAAUGUGGCAUUUCUUAAAGGGUAGUACAAGAAAAAUGCCACACUAUCUAUGAGAUCUUUUACAUAAAGCACUACUACGUGAUAUUUUUUCGUCGUCUUCCGAGAAAAUAUCCAAAACGUAUGCUGGGAAGGCACAAAGAACGGUGUGCAUAUAGGAUGAUGCAAUUAAAAAACUAUUAAAGAAGAAAACAAACUACAAAAUGCAAAGCAAUAAAAGGAUUUUGAAAAUCCGCGCGUUUUACGUUUAUCAACGCACUAAACUAUAAGAAAAAAUUCAAAACAGAUCAAAAUCCGGAUACCGACCUUUUAAGUGACCAGUAUCCAUGCGCAACUUUAGAAGUCGCGCUGCAAGCAUGGACAAGGUUCAGAGUUGUGGUGGGAUGUCACGCGCAACUUUCAGGGUUGUGCGCGACAUUUAAAUCAGUAAAAAAAGAAGCGAAGAGCGCAAUUCCGCAGCUCAUCGCCAUUUUCACCAUUUUAGACCCUUUCUCUCUCUACAAAGCUUGGUUUUUUCCUCCAUUUGAAGCUAAAGAAAGGAAAUCUUGCCUCCAGUUCCAUUUUUCCAUGAUCCAAUCAUGCAUGGAUUCUCCUCUGUUUGUGGAUGCCAAGGACAUCUUAGAGGGACAAGUUCCUGACGAGGUAGUUCACCCUCGAAAGAGGAAGACACAUGCUCGUGAGAAAGGGCGAGAGCGACAUGUUGAUGCUGAUAGACAUCGUCACGAGGAGUUGGUUUGGGAGGCUCCUCCCAACUGGGAUCCACAUGUCCUUAAAUGGGACCUGGAUCACCAUGUCUCGAUUCAGGGUCGGCGCGGCAUAGUAAGUGUUUCAUGUUUGUUUUUUAUUUUUUUAUUUUAUUUUUUUUAUUUCAUUAUUUCCCGUCAUAAUUGAGUUUUCUUUCUUCUCUUUUUUUUUUCUUUUCUUUUGUUUUGGAGUGAGCCUAACAUGCGCCUAUAAGUUCUUACGACUUGAGAGGUCGUUAUAACUCUCUACCCGAGGCAGUGAAUGAGGUGAUUGAGCUUUCGGGGGUCAGUUUCUAGCUGGCAGCUCUUCGGGAUUUGUCGAGUCAGCCUGCGUCACUAGCUUUUCUCCCCGGGUUGUUGGAGUUUUGGUGGGAUUCCACCAACACUUUUCACUUUCAGUGGGGAGAGAUGAUGGUUACCCCUUACGACUUAUCUAUGAUAACGAGUUUUCCUUUUGAAGGCGAGCCCGUGGUUUUGGGGAACAUAAAGGGGUCAGACGAGAGACUGUGUGAUCUUGUGGGGGAUCGUCUUGAGGCGACCCUACAUGUGUAUAUGCAAUCUUGUCCUUACUUGGUUCUUGCCGACGAGUUUUUGGCUGAUGAGGUGGAUCGGCAGUGUACUCCUAAACAGUUGGCUCGGAUAUACAUUGCUCACGUUCUUUCCGUCACUGCUUUGUGUGAUCGGGGAGAACGUUUCGCUAUCGGGUUACUCACAUGCCUUAGUGAGUUAGGGAAGGUGGGUAACCUGAAUCGGGCGGAGGUGUCGUAUCCUCGUAUGCUUACUGCUAUAGGCAAGAUGACACGAGUGAUGGAUUCCGCGAUAGCUACUGAGGUGCCCCGGAUCUCCAUUUCAUGGCAUGGUCGUAUUCUUGAGGAAUGUUUCUUUUUUUUUUUCUUUUUUUUUAAUCUUUCCCAUCGACUCUUAAGCUAAUCUUAUUUAUUUUGUUUGCUUCUUUAGGCAUGGGGGUAUUCGUACCUUCCUUUUCUAGCCCCCUGGACGCUCGGGCCGACUCGUUUCCCUAUUGGCCACAGUUUGGUCAGAAUAGGGAAGAUACGAGCUACUGAAGCCGGUGAAUUUCGCCAGAGGAUUCUCUCGGCAACUUGUGCGUCGGCUGACCUUCGCCCUUGGGGCUUAGUCGUGGGGAUCCUAGCGGUUGUCCAAGCAAGCAACGUUCGCUGUCAUUUCCGGGCACUUUAUUAGGGUCUCUUCUUGAUUCAUCGGACAGACGCGUGGCUUUUAGGCGAGCCCGUUGUUUGGCAGUUUUUGUUCGUGGAGCCUUUGGUUCCUGCAGACCCUGAUCCGGAUGCUGCGUCCGGACCUACUUUCUACCGAGGACUGAGCUCAGGCAAUCCUUGGUAAUCCCGCGGAGCAGCUGGUGCUGCCUGGGUUUUCUACUAGGCUUUUGUUGCGCCUAGGAUGACUCCUUUUUCAGCUUUUGUCCCGAUUCGUAUUUUUCUUUCUUUGAUUUUAUUUUUCUUUUGACGUUCGGAUAUUAACCUCUUUUUAUUUUUUGUUUCUCGUAGAGCGUCAUGCUUAGUGGUUGGGCGCCUCCUGCAGCGGAGAUCUCGUAUACCUAACUCACUAACGUAGGAAUCACAGCCACCUUUUAGCUAGUGACAAGCCAAUUUAAACCCCUACAUUGCCCUAGAGGACGAGUGAUGUUCUCGUAAGGGUUUCCUAAAGAGCUUAACCUAUAACUCUCAAAACAAAAUGAGGCAAAGCAUGAAAAUGAAAUCAAAAAUAAAAAGAAAAAGAACAAAUGCUCAUGAAUGGACUUUUGCAAAUGAUCAAGCACAAAUGGAUGCAAAACUUUCUAAAUAACCAAGGGGAUGCACGUUUCAAGAUAUCCAAGGUUGAUUGAAACAUAGAAUAUGCUAAGCGUAGAGAACUCACACGACACAAUUACCUUCGUCCCCACCAUUCUAACAACGUUCUCUCCACUAGCUUCAAAUCAACCUCGAGUUAGCUUCUCAUGAUUCCUCGAAGGAACCGAAAAAAUAUAAAGAAAUGAAAAACAUGAGAAGGUUAUCCCGACGUCUUAGCUAUACACAUCCCUCUCUAUAGGCUUGAAAACCAUCUCCCUCCACCGGUUGUAGACUCAACCCUCUAGGGUCUAAAGGACUUUAUUGGGUUGUAAUGUCAUGGCUUAGGGUAUAGGUAGGGUGAAAAUUUGAAAAAUUUGGUGGUAUUUCCUGAGUGAAGCAAAAGAGUGGCCAUCUCCCAAAAACCAACUUAAGAAGUCACCAAUAAUCAUAUAAAAGUGCCAUCUCCCCCAAGUUUAUUCAACAAACACACAAACAAAUACACAAAAGCACAGGAACGCUCCUCCAAACGUAAACAAAGCAUUGCCUUUAAUGCUUAAACUAGGAAAACAAUCACAACCAAAGUAUAUUUGUUGCUUUCCAUCAUUAUUGGCUUUUUUUUAUUACUACUAGUUGUGGACCCGCGCGCAUUGCGCGCUGUUCCCCAAGAUAUCGGUUUUUGUUUUGCUAAUGGUAGGUUGUUGGGGAUUAAUUAGGAGAUUAUGGUGUACUUAGUUACAAUUUGUAGGGCAUGUAUUUGAAUAUGUAACAAAUUAACAAUAGUGCGUGUUUGUCAUGUGUAUAGAUAUUAGGUUCUUGAAGUUGUAUUGGAAUAACUACUCAAUGAUGAAGUUGCGAUUAAUUGUGUAAAAGCUAA